rnacentral:rRNA from 1 species
UACAGAGGGGGCAAGCGUUGUUCGGAAUUACUGGGCGUAAAGGGCGCGUAGGCGGCCUGUUAAGUCGAACGUGAAAUCCCCGGGCUCAACCCGGGAACUGCGUCCGAUACUGGCAGGCUUGAAUCCGGGAGAGGGAUGUGGAAUUCCAGGUGUAGCGGUGAAAUGCGCAGAUAUCAGGAAGAACACCCGUGGCGAAGGCGGCUCUCUGGGACGGUACUGACG